rnacentral:lncRNA from 1 species
CCUUUGCGCACGCAGAAGCCUAGUCAGUCUGGCUAUAGUCAUGUCUAAUGACGCGAAAGUCUGAACGUGAAACGUGAAUCUAACAGAAAGGCAUGUCCCCGCCUGAAGGCAGUCAGCAAGUGUCUGUGACGAGUUUUAAGUGACUUACACGAGGCUGGGCAUUGAACAGUGUGUGUAAUGCCUCUGCUUCAGUCUGGCAAGUGCCCAUCCCGCUUUCAUGAACCAAUUGAAAUGUCCAAUGUAUUGGUUGCUGUAGUGAGACAGCAAUUCCAUAGCAGCAGUGAAAAUUACCUGUGGAAGUAAUAGUAAUGCGAUGGGGUUUUGUGGUGACUGUCAUUAUGUAGCGUAUGCAUGGGAAUGCAAUCAUUUCCACCCUGUGCAUGUGUGUAGAUAAAUGGCUUAUCUCCCGAGAUUAUGGGACAGCAGCUAGCUGGUGUUGUAAUUAUCUUCAGUGGAUCUCUUACUGUACAGGCUAUAACAAAACCUCUCUACUUUUAUGUGCCUUCUUUUUGCAAUUGUCUUCGCUCUGCAAGGAAAGCCAAGCUUCUCUAACUAAGGUGUAGAAGGCUUGUGCGACUUCAGCUGAACUUGAAGCAAUCAGCAGGAUUCAAGCACAUGUGUAGAGUUUUACUGGUGCAUGCACCCUUAGGGGCUCAUUUCUUAUUGAAAACACUACCAUAGCAUUUUUUUCUUUCUGUUUUUAAUGUUGUAUGCCUUAAUAACAUGGUUAGAAUAUUGAAGUACUUCUGCAAAUUUAGGAAAUGUUGUUCAAUGAAGGCACAUCUAAGAAAUGUGGGGUCCCUGACGUAAUUCCUAAUGCAUUUUCGUACAUUAUUCCCAGUGGGCUCCUCAGCAUUGCUAUUAUUUUUCAGUGUUCUCUCACAACAGGUAUUGUUCCUUCAUCUUGAAAACAAACGAAAGUCCUCCCCCUUUUUAAAGCUGGCGACAAAGGCAUU